CUUUUUUAUUUCAGGAUCUCAAUGGUGCUAAAAACUGUGUGGAUUAUUGCUUGCAGGGGAAUUCUAUUUAUGUCGCUGGACAGCCCGCUUUCUUCAACUUCUCUCUCAGCACCAAGAUUCAGAGGCCAGGGGAAGAGGAUACCAGACCACCGAAUCAUGUACUUCUGUUCACCAUUUUGAACCCACAGUAUCCCAUUACAGUAGAUGUCAUGCACACUAUUAACAGUCCAUAUGGUCAAGUGCUGCGAAUAGUCAUCUUCAAAAAGAACGGUGUUCAGGCUAUGGUUGAAUUUGACACUGUGGAUUCUGCCAAGCGCGCUAAACAAUCUUUGAAUGGAGCUGAUAUUUAUUCGGGCUGUUGUACACUAAAAAUAGAAUAUGCUAAGCCUGCUCGCUUGAAUGUGGUUAAAAAUGAUAAUG
rnacentral:sRNA from 1 species